rnacentral:rRNA from 1 species
AAUCGAACUCGGAGAUAGCUGGUUCUCCCCGAAAUAGCUUUAGGGCUAGCCUCAUAUUAGAUACCCGGAGGUAAAGCACUGAAUGGCCUAGCGCCCGAGAGGGUAGCGAAGCCUAUCAAACUAAGAAUGCCGGAGUAUUGAUGUAUGGGAGUCAGACAGUGUGAGAUAAAUCUCAUUGUCAAAAGGGAAACAGCCCAGAUCUACAGCUAAGGUCCCAAAUUGUAUCUAAGUGGAAAACGAUGUGGAAAUACGCAGACAACCAGGAUGUUGGCUCAGAAGCAGCCACUCAUUUAAAGAGUGCGUAAUAGCUCACUGGUCGAGCGUCUCUGCGCGGAAAAUUUAACGGGGCUAAGAUACAAACCGAAGCUUAGGCUGCAUCGUAAGAUGCGGGGUAGGGGAGCGUUGUGUAAGCGGAGAAACAGUAGCGUAAGCGGCUGUGGAGUUUACAGAAGUGAGAAUGCCGGAAUGAGUAGCGCGAAUGUGGUGAGAAUCCACAUGGCCGGAAACCUCAGGUUUUUGGAGGAAGGUUCGUCCGCUCCAAGUUAGGCGGGAGCUAAGGUCAGGCCGAAAGGCGUAGCCGAUGCACAGACGGUAGAGAUUCCGUCCCCACCGAAAGAUUUAAGCACAGGGACACUUUUUGAAGGUCGGAGCCAGGUGUUGGUUCUGGUAGUGAUCGAGGGAAAUAUAGUACCGAAGUCCGGCUGGAAGAGAGGCGAGAAAAGCUGUGUGUAUAUCUAAGGUGCCCGUACCGCAAACCGACACAGGUAGGUAGGAAGAAGAUUCUAAGGCCAACGGGAGAAGGGUUGUUAAGGAACUCGGCAAGUUGACCCCGUAACUUCGGAAUAAGGGGUGCUCACGAGAGUGAGCCGCAGAGAAUAGGCCCAGGCAACUGUUUACCAAAAACACAGGUUUGUGCUAAAUCGAAAGAUGACGUAUACGAGCUGACGCCUGCCCGGUGCUGGAAGGUUAAAAGGAGAUGUGCAAGCAUUGAAUUGAAGCCCCAGUGAACGGCGGCCGUAACUAUAACGGUCCUAAGGUAGCGAAAUUCCUUGUCAGGUAAGUUCUGACCCGCAUGAAAGGCGUAAUGAUUUGGGCACUGUCUCAACAGCCCGCCCGGCGAAAUUGUAGUACCGGUGAAGAUGCCGGUUACCCGCGACAAGACGGAAAGACCCCAUGGAGCUUUACUGUAGCCUGAUAUUGGGUUUCGGUGUUGCAUGCACAGGAUAGAUGGGACGCUGGGAAAGAAGCGCUUUGGCGUUUCUGGAGCGGACGUUGGGAUACCAUCCUUGCGACAUUGGAAUUCUAACCUGCGCCUCUGAAUCGAGGCGGGGGACAUUGUCAGGUGGGCAGUUUGACUGGGGCGGUCGCCUCCUAAAAAGUAGCGGAGGCGUUCAAAGGUUCGUUCGAUCUGGACGGAAACCAGAUGAUUGAGUGCAAACGCAUAAACGAGCCUGACUGCGAGACUGACGGGUCGAGCAGAGACGAAAGUCGGAGUUAGUGAUCCGGUGGUAUGUGAGUGGAAAUGCCAUCGCUCAACGGAUAAAAGUUACCCUGGGGAUAACAGGCUGAUCUCCCCCAAGAGUCCACAUCGACGGGGAGGUUUGGCACCUCGAUGUCGGCUCAUCGCAUCCUGGGGCUGAAUUCGGUCCCAAGGGUUUGGCUGUUCGCCAAUUAAAGCGGUACGCGAGCUGGGUUCAGAACGUCGUGAGACAGUUCGGUCCCUAUCUGUCGUGGGCGCAGGAUAUUUGAAAGGCGCUGUCCCUAGUACGAGAGGACCGGGAUGGACGAACCUCUGGUGCACCAGUUGUCACGCCAGUGGCACAGCUGGGCAGCUAUGUUCGGAUCGGAUAAACGCUGAAAGCAUCUAAGCGUGAAGCCGGCCUUAAGAUAAGAUAUCCCACUGAGUCAAUCAGGUAAGACCCCUUGA